CAAAGUAUAGCUAAAAUAGUUUAGUAUUUUAUUUACAUUAAAAUGAAUUAUCGUGCAAAUCGGUUUACUUUGA
rnacentral:tRNA from 1 species